AAUGUACACCGUCACCGUUCUCUUAAUACAUCCAUGCCGUACACCCCGACGAUUGACUUUUUUUUACCUCCUGAUGUGUAGCUGAGAAGUAAACGUUAACCUCCCCUCCGGUGAUUUGUAAUUAUAAUGUAUCAACGUUUAUGAACAUUAACUACGUGAAAUGGCGUGCACGUCCAGAGAGUCUACGGUGAGGUCGUAGGGGUCCAUGUUAAGCUUGUUGAAGACUUCCUUGAGUGUGAGCUUUUGGCUGCCCUUCUCCAAGACGACACGAUCUGCCUCUGUCUGUAUCCCAUACAAGUUGGGGCUGAGGAGGUUCCAGAGUAACGCCUACAACUCCCCCAUCUGGACAGAAAAGGAAAAUCUUCCAUUAGGAUAGUCUCUCUCACGGCCCCUGAAUGGCUGGAUGAGAAUUUGAAUUUUGUAUACUUAUGCCUCAACUUUU